CGCCUCACCGCGUGCACUGGUCCGGCCGGGCCUUUCCUCCUGGGGAGCCGCAUGCCCUUCACUGGGUGUGUCGGGGAACCAGGACUUUUACUUUGAAAAAAUUAGAGUGUUCAAAGCAGGCCUAUGCUCGAAUACAUUAGCAUGGAAUAAUAGAAUAGGACGUGUGGUUCUAUUUUGUUGGUUUCUAGGACCGCCGUAAUGAUUAAUAGGGAUAGUCGGGGGCAUCAGUAUUCAAUUGU
rnacentral:rRNA from 1 species